GCCUGGGUGGCUCAGUCGGUUAAGCGUCUGACUUCAGCUCAGGUCACGAUCUCGCGGUCGGCAAGUUCAAGCCCUGCGUCAGGCU
rnacentral:tRNA from 1 species